rnacentral:rRNA from 1 species
AUUGAACGCUGGCGGCAUGCCUUACACAUGCAAGUCGAACGGCAGCACGGGGCAACCUGGUGGCGAGUGGCGAACGGGUGAGUAAUACAUCGGAACGUGCCCAAUCGUGGGGGAUAACGUAGCGAAAGCUACGCUAAUACCGCAUACGAUCUACGGAUGAAAGCGGGGGAUCGCAAGACCUCGCGCGAAUGGAGCGGCCGAUGGCAGAUUAGGUAGUUGGUGGGGUAAAGGCUCACCAAGCCUGCGAUCUGUAGCUGGUCUGAGAGGACGACCAGCCACACUGGAACUGAGACACGGUCCAGACUCCUACGGGAGGCAGCAGUGGGGAAUUUUGGACAAUGGGCGCAAGCCUGAUCCAGUCAUUCCGCGUGCAGGAUGAAGGCCCUCGGGUUGUAAACUGCUUUUGUACGGAACGAAAAGGCCUUCUCUAAUACGGUGGGCUAAUGACGGUACCGUAAGAAUAAGCACCGGCUAACUACGUGCCAGCAGCCGCGGUAAU